GAACGCACAUUGCGCCCGCUAGUAUUCUGGCGGGCAUGCCUGUCCGAGCGUCAUUUCAACCAUCAAGCCCCAGGCUUGUGUUGGGGCCCUGCGGCCGUCCGCAGCCCCCGAAAAGCAGUGGCGGGCUCGCUAUCACACCGAGUGCAGUAGUAUCUCCUCGCUCUGGUCGUGUGGCGGGUGCCGGCCGUGAAACCCCCUACUUUUACAAAGGUUGACCUCGGAUCAGGUAGGAAUACCCGCUGAACUUAAG
rnacentral:misc_RNA from 1 species